rnacentral:lncRNA from 1 species
UAUUAUAUUCAAUUUAUUAAGAUUGGUUUGUUCUUAAUUAAUCAAUCUAAUUCUUAAAAGUUGUAUCAUUUUUAAUAUUUUGAAGUUUACUUAUUAUAUUAAGAUACAUUGGCUUCAUGAUUGAUCCAAUCGAGGUCAAAUAAUGUUCAUAUUAUAAGGGGACGGUAUCUUUAGUCCCACAUCAGUUGUGAGUUAAAAAAAAAGAUGGUUAAUAUAGAUUGAAAUUUUUUCUCUUUCUAUAAAGGGUAAAACCAUGAAGCUCCAAAUGACCAAGGUCCACUGAAACCUAAGGCCCAUUAAAGCCCAA